GUUGAAGAACGCAGCGAAAUGCGAUAAGUAAUGUGAAUUGCAGAAUUCAGUGAAUCAUCGAAUCUUUGAACGCACAUUGCGCCCGCCAGUAUUCUGGCGGGCAUGCCUGUUCGAGCGUCAUUUCAACCAUCAAGCCCCAGGCUUGUGUUGGAGCCCUGCGGCUGCCGCAGCCUCCCAAAACCAGUGGCGGGCUCGCUAUCACACCGAGUGCAGUAGUUUACUCUUCGCUCAGGGCGUGUGGCGGGUGCUAGCCGUGAAACCCCCAACUUCUCAAGGUUGACCUCGGAUCAGGUAGGAAUACCCGCUGAACUUAAGCAUAUCAAUAAGCGGAGGA
rnacentral:misc_RNA from 1 species